GACAGAGGGUGCAAACGUUGCUCGGAAUCACUGGGCGUAAAGGGCGUGUAGGCGGGAGGGAAAGUCAGAUGUGAAAUCCCCAGGCUCAACCUGGGAACUGCAUUUGAAACUCCCCUUCUUGAGUAUCGGAGAGGAAAGCGGAAUUCCUGGUGUAGAGGUGAAAUUCGUAGAUAUCAGGAGGAACACCAGUGGCGAAGGCGGCUUUCUGGACGAUUACUGACGCUGAGACGCAAAAGCGUGGGGAGCAAACAGG
rnacentral:rRNA from 1 species